AGCGUGGGCGGACAUUUAAGUCAGGGGUGAAAUCCCGGGGCUCAACCUCGGAAUUGCCUUUGAUACUGGGUGUCUUGAGUAUGAGAGAGGUGUGUAGAACUCCGAGUGUAGAGGUGAAAUUCGUAGAUAUUCGGAAGAACACCAGUGGCGAAGGCGACACACUGGCUCAUUACUGACGCUGAGGUGCGAAAGCGUGGGGAGCAAACA
rnacentral:rRNA from 1 species